CCCACCUCCCAGGUUCCUGUAAAAAUUAACUCUAUCCCAGCUGAACCCAGGACAGAUUGUUACUUUCUACUACACAUGCUGCUGAACCUUGACUGGUCCUGAAGCUCUUACCUCAGGCAGACACCUCUUCCCAAAGGGCUGAGCCAGCUCAAAAGCUGCAAAGGACUCAAGGAAGAGCUGAGCACCAACACCAGAGAAACCCAGGAGCACAAUGAACUCCCUCAGCAGAGGCUGUGGCUCAAAUACCCUAACCCUCCGCCCACCACCCUUAGCACAAUCACCUGGGAAAGGGG